GCCUUAGUAGCGGCGAGUGAAGCGGCAAAAGCUCAAAUUUGAAAUCUGCUAGUAAUAGCCGAGUUGUAAUUUGGAGAUUGAUCUCUGCAAACGACCUUUGCUCAAGUUCUUUGGAAAAAGACAUCAUGGAGGGUGACAAUCCCGUGAGGCAUUGGUUAGUUUGCGUGUAGAGUUCAUUCAAAGAGUCGAGUUGUUUGGGAUUGCAGCUCUAAGUGGGUGGUAAACACCAUCUAAAGCUAAAUAUUGGCGAGAGACCGAUAGCGAACAAGUACUGUGAAGGAAAGAUGAAAAGCACUUUGAAAAGAGAGUGAAAUAGUACGUGAAAUCGUUGGAAUGGAAGGGCUUGAAGUUAGACAUGGUGCUAUAAGUUCCAGUUCCUCUUGGGGGGCUGUACUCUUUUUGUACUGGGCUAGCUCUUGUUUUGGUGGGAGGAUAAAAGGCAUGGAAUGUAGCAGCUUGCUGUAUUAUAGACUUGUCUAAUACUCUCUACCGGGACAAUAGCUGGCGUAAUGACUUUAAGCCACCCGUCU
rnacentral:rRNA from 1 species